rnacentral:rRNA from 1 species
AGGGCGUACGGCGAAUGCCUUGCCACUCGAAACUGAAGAAGGACGCGCCAAACUGCGAAAAGCUCCGUGAAGCUGUAAGGAAGCGAAGAAGCGGAGGUGUCCGAAUGGGGGAACCCGGCAGCAGACAUGAGCUGUCAUCUGCAGGUGAAUACAUGGCCUGCAAGAGAGGUACCCGGCGAACUGAAACAUCUAAGUAGCCGGAGGAAAAGAAAACAACAGUGAUUCCCUGAGUAGCGGCGAGCGAAAGGGGAGAAGCCCAAACCGGUUGAAGGACCGGGGUUGAAGGACCAUGACAUGGCAAGAACGAGGAUAGGAGAACGGGAUCGAAAGCCCGGCCGAAGAAGGUGAAAGCCCUGUAACCGAAAUCCGAGUAAAGCCUAAUGGGAUCCUGAGUACGGCGAGACACGAGAAAUCUUGUCGGAAGCAGGCGGGACCAUCCGCCAAGGCUAAAUAUAAACGAGUGAGCGAUAGUGAACCAGUACCGUGAGGGAAAGGUGAAAAGAACCGCGGGAGCGGAGUGAAAGAGAACCUGAAACCGUAUGCCUACAAGAAGUCAGAGCCCGUUAAGGGGUGAUGGCGUGCCUUUUGUAGAAUGAACCGGCGAGUUGCGACAGACUGCGAGGUUAAGGAGGAAAGACCGGAGCCGAAGCGAAAGCGAGUCUUAAGAGGGCGAAAGUAGGAUGUUGCAGACCCGAAACCGGGUGAUCUAGCCAUGAGCAGGUUGAAGUUGAGGUGAAACUCAAUGGAGGACCGAACCGACUACCGUUGAAAAGUUAGCGGAUGACUUGUGGCUAGGGGAGAAAUUCCAAUCGAACCCGGAGAUAGCUGGUUCUCCCCGAAAUAGCUUUAGGGCUAGCGUCGGAAAGAACCUUAGUGAAGGUAGAGCACUGAAUGUGUGAUGGCCCCAUCCCGGGGUACUGAAUACAAUCAAACUGCGAAUGUCAUUAAGGAUGUCCGGCAGUCAGACUGUGAGUGAUAAGGUCCAUGGUCAAGAGGGAAACAGCCCAGACCGCCAGUUAAGGUCCCAAAAUACAGGCUAAGUGGAAAAGGAUGUGGGGAUGCCCAGACAACUAGGAGGUUGGCUCAGAAGCAGCCAUCCUUUAAAGAGUGCGUAACAGCUCACUAGUCGAGUGACCCUGCGCCGAAAAUGUACCGGGGCUAAGCCUGAUACCGAAACUGCGGAUUGUAGGAAACUAUAGUGGUAGGGGAGCGUUGUAUACGAGCAGAAGCCGUACCGUGAGGAGCGGUGGAUUGUAUAGAAGUGAGAAUGCCGGUGUGAGUAGCGAGAUGUAGGUGAGAAUCCUACACACCGAAAGCCCAAGGAUUCCAGGGGAAGGUUCGUCCGCCCUGGGUAAGUCGGGACCUAACGCGAGGCCGAAAGGCGUAGUGGAUGGAAAGCAGGCGAAAGAUUCCUGCACCCGUAUAUGGAGCGAAGGAGUGACGGAGACGGAUAGUGUGACCCUCUUAAUGGAUUGAGGGCGAAGCGAAGCGGCUGGUUACCAGGCAAAUCCGGUAACCAUAAGGCUAGAGCGUGACAGGUAAGCGAAAUCUUAGGAAAGUAGCGAAGCACAUGAUGACGGCUUCCAGGAAAAGCUUCUGGCAAUGCAUAUGCGGCCCGUACCAAAACCGACACAGGUGGGCAGGGAGAGAAUCCCGAGGUGAGCGAGAGAACUGUUGCCAAGGAACUCGGCAAAAUGACUCCGUAAGUUAGCGAGAAGGAGUGCUUAAGCAAUUAAGCCGCAGUGAAGAGGCCCAAGCGACUGUUUAACUAAAACACAGCUCUCUGCGAAGUCGCAAGACGAAGUAUAGGGGGUGACACCUGCCCGGUGCUGGAAGGUUAAGAGGAUCUGUUAAGAGCGAUCUGAAGCAGUGAUCCGAAGCCCCAGUGAACGGCGGCCGUAACUAUAACGGUCCUAAGGUAGCGAAAUUCCUUGUCAGGUAAGUUCUGACCCGCACGAAAGGUGUAACGAUUUGGGCGCUGUCUCGGCAGCAGACUCGGUGAAAUCUUAGUACCUGUGAAAAUGCAGGUUACCCGCAACUAGACGGAAAGACCCCAUGGAGCUUUACUGCAGCCUGAUAUUGAAUUCUGGUCAUACAUGUACAGGAUAGGUGGGAGACAAAGAGACGUGCACGCCAGUGUACGAGGAGUCGACGUUGGGAUACCACUCUUGUGUGACCGGGGUUCUAACCUGGUAUCGAGAACAGGUACGGGGAGAGUGUCAGGUGGGCAGUUUGACUGGGGCGGUCGCCUCCCAAAGAGUAACGGAGGCGCCCAAAGGUACGCUCAGAUUGGAUGGAAACCAAUCGUCGAGUGCAAUUGCAGAAGCGUGCUUGACUGUGAGACAGACAAGUCGAACAGGGACGAAAGUCGGGAAUAGUGAUCCGGCGGUGCCGAAUGGAAGGGCCGUCGCUCAACGGAUAAAAGCUACCCUGGGGAUAACAGGCUGAUCUCGCCCAAGAGUUCACAUCGACGGCGAGGUUUGGCACCUCGAUGUCGGCUCAUCGCAUCCUGGAGCUGGAUUCGGUUCCAAGGGUUGGGCUGUCCGCCCAUUAAAGCGGUACGCGAGCUGGGUUCAGAACGUCGUGAGACAGUUCGGUCCCUAU